AAAAGCAGGGAAUCCCAGAGGCGAGGCCGGGGACCAAGGCAGCUGAAGUCCAAGACAGACAGAGUCCAAAGACUCACUCUUGGGCUUCCUCUAGCUGAUGUUCUGCAAUCUCCUUCAAUCGGAUGGCAUCUUCUAGCUGGCUAUUAAGCAAUACAGUUUCUUCCUCAAAUCGUUUUAUCUCAUGUUUCAGACCUUCAUAUUCAACCUGAAUUAGCAAUGUCACUUCUGUCAAGGCAUAAAACAGAUCAAUGAGGAAUGCAGUCUGUCCUGUGAAGAUAGCUACUAACAACUUUGAGAAAGGAUUGUACGUUCCAGAGCACAGAAAACUGUAUCUCGGUGUAAAACUAAAAGCCUCAUGCAAAAUAUCUAGCUGAGGAACUGGGAGAAAAUUACUUAUGUUCUAACAAAAUAUAUGUGAAAAUUUUACAGAUUGUUUUGGAAUAAUAUGGGCUUAUUUCUCAAUACAAAAGUGACACAUUGUUCCAUGCAGCACAAACAGACAGCAACAUGAAGUAGGACACUAUUCAGAGAGGACUGCAAGAGGAGUCCAAAGAUAGCAAGGACACCAAUUAUUAUCCAAGAGCCAAAAUAUUGCUUUCUCAGUAUCUUCAAUGUUGUUCAGUGUGACAAAAACAGUCUAAACUUAAACUUUUAAACUAAAAUUAGACAGCACGGGCGCACUGGUCCUAAUUGGAUCCAGUGAUUAUUGCAAGAAAGGCCUGGGAUAGAAUGAAGAUUUAAAGCAAUCAUAAUUGUCUUCCAGUAGUAAUGGAGAGGUAAGAUUUUCUCAUCCGUGGAUGUUGAAAUGCAAGACUGAGCCAUAAAACAAUCUUGUUAACCUGAAGAAUAACAUAAAGCUGGAUGCUCCCAGUAGCCCACUAUGCCUGUGAUGCCUGGAUAAUCUUUAUAGAGUUGAAGUCCUAUACUUUUCCAUGGUAAGACAUCUGGGAUGUGUCAGUCCCUUCUCCCCCACUAAA